rnacentral:sRNA from 1 species
GCUGGGCAUGGUGGCACAUGCCUGUAAUCCCAGAGACUUGGGAGGCUGAGGCAGGAGGGUAGUGAAUUCAAAGCCACGCUCAGCAACUUAGUGAGACCCUGUCUCAA